rfam:Picea glauca, whole genome shotgun sequence.
GCCCGUCUAGUUCAGUUGGUAGAUCGCAAGGCUCUUAACCCUGUGGUCGUGGGUUGGAGCCCCACGGUGGGCG